AACUGUCAUGGCUGCUGUCAGUGAGGGCCCGUAAUGGAGAUCGAGUCAAGGGUUGCCCAGGGACACUUAAGAGCCUUCGGCUUCAAGGAGGCCUCUCAAAGGACAAAGGAUGAGACUGCCUGGCGGCAGAGUGCCCCCCACAAUCGUAGGAACUGUGUCGCCGCGCUUCCCGUUAACUUGCCGCUAAGUUUUUCUAGAAAAGUCGCCCUUCUUGCCAGGGGUGUCCUAUAGACUUUGUCAUGGAGUGAAACAGAAACAAAUGAUUAAGUAUUUUUGAAUGUAAAUGAUUCAAGAUAACACAUAGACUUCGUUUGAUGACAUCUGCAAAAUAAAUUUUUAAAAAAUUUGGGCUUCAUGAUAAUGGAAAAGUAGAAACUAUGUUUGUCUUUAUCACCUGUGAAUCCCCCAUAUUGAGAACAUGCCUGGCACAUAGUGAGUGUUCAGUAAUCAUUUACUCAAUGAAGUAAA
rnacentral:lncRNA from 1 species